UUAACUCGAAUUUGUAUGGAGUUGGAACAGCGCCCCUAGCGGCAAACGUAGGCAAACGUUCCAAUUCCAUACAAAUUUGAGUUA
rnacentral:pre_miRNA from 1 species